GCCAAUUCUUGUGGCGCGUGUCAGACGAGUUUGAAAGAUAUUUUCAGCUGUUUCUCUUUUUGAAGCUUUCUCUUUCUUUUGGAAGAAGAGUGAAUAGCUUAAAGAUGAACUCGCAGAUACCAGAUGAUGUUCUUACUAGCCUCUUUACGGACUUUGCACUAGAGCACGAAGAAAAGCAGCAGAGCUACAACUUAAAGCAUAGGCCAAAUCAUCAAUCCCCUUCAUUAAUUCAUAACGGCAUUCAAUCAACCGGAACAUCACCCUCUUCCAAGUACACCUUUUCGGAGCAUUCCGAUGACGUAGACACCUCUGCAGUAGUUGAUGAACUAGUAAGAAUUGGAGACGAACUUCCUGUAGCUGAUGAGGAAUUAAUUCUUCUUCCUGUUAGAGAAUUGAAUAGAAGGCUUCAUGGAUUAUCAAAAGAGGUGGUUAUUCGUAUAAAGCAGAGGAGGAGAACCUUAAAAAAUAGAGGUUACGCGCAACAGUGUCGAACGAAGAGGUUGCAACAGAGAGCCGACCUAGAAAAAGUUAAUAAAGAAUUACUUGAAAAAAUUAGUAAUUUGAAAAAACAAAUGUUGAUAUUGGCAAGAGAAAGAGAUUUGUACAAAAGAGAAUUGGAAAGGUUCAAAUUAAAUUCAACUCCAUCUUCACCAGAUAGCGGAAUAUUUUGACAUUUUCUCAAUCUUCUUUUUUAUUAUUAUUAAACAUUUCUUUUGUCUCAAUGUUGAAGAAUAAAGUUUUUAUUUAUUAAAAACAACUAUAAACCAGUGGCCAUAUUUGAAUCAUAACUGAAGUAUUUGUCUUUUCUCUGUUGUAAAUAAGUAGACACCGAAAAAAAAAUUGUCCGGUUAUAUUUCAAUGUUAUACCUGUUUGGUGUUUUUCAAACCAUCUUGAUAAAUGUAUAUAUAGAUACUGUACAUGUUUGUUCGUUUGUACCGUAUUUAUUCACUUUUCCACUCUUAUAUUCUUGAAUAUUUUUUGCAUUUAACAUUAUUAAAUAGAUUGUUUUUAUGUUGAAAAGAUAAAAAGAAAAACUAUUCAAACCUUUAACAGACUUUUGUUCUUUUUACAUCUGUGAUCAUCUCAUUUGGUCGGAGAAAAAAAAAACUAGAAAUAUAGGAGAACGCGACAGAAAUAGGUAGAGAAAAAAGGUGUGGCAAUGGCUAUUCUCUUUAGACAAAACGCCGUUUGGGGGUUUGACGGAGAGCUGUAAAAAGAUACAGGAGAUAGAUGGUGGGAGAAAGAUAGAUAGCUAGAUAGAGAGAAAAGACAUAAAGUGUAACCAACACGUUGAAGAAUAGAUUGAAUAGACGAAGAGAUAAGAUGUAGACAAAAAUUUGAUAGGUUUAGCAAAAGGAGGGAAGAGAUAUGAUAGAAGUGGGAAAAGGAAGAGGGUUGUUUUAUUUCAAACGUUAUAUCACCUUCGCAACUAGAAAAAAGCGCCUUUGGAAGCCCUCAUGUCCAAAAAAUGGAGUAAAUAAAACACAUACAUACGCACGCACACUCACACAGUAUACAGCGUAUUCUAUAUAAUGAAAAGAGUACAUCUAUAUAUAAAUAUACUGUAAAAAC
rnacentral:misc_RNA from 1 species